rnacentral:rRNA from 1 species
AUACGGAGGAUGCAAGCGUUAUCCGGAUUUAUUGGGUUUAAAGGGUGCGUAGGCGGUUUGCUAAGCGGGAGGUGAAAUGCCGGCGCUCAACGUCGGAAGUGCCUCCCGAACUGGUGGACUGGAAUGACUCUGCCGUGGGAGGAAUGUGUAGUGUAGCGGUGAAAUGCUUAGAGAUUACACAGAACACCGAUUGCGAAGGCAUCUCACGAAGGGUUGAUUGACGCUGAGGCACGAAAGCGUGGGGAUCAAACAGGAUUAGAUACCCUGGUAGUCCACGCAGUAAACGAUGAUGGCUAACCGCUGGGCUUAUCAGUUCAGUGGCCAAGCGAAAGCGAUAAGCCAUCCACCCGGGGAGUACGACCGCAAGGUUGAAACUCAAAGGAAUUGACGGGG